GAAAGUUUUGGUUAUGUAGAUGUUGUACUUGUGCCUUUCUAUAGCUGGUUUUAUGCUUAUGAGGUCUUUGGAAAUUUCAGCAUAGAGGCUGAGUGUCCUAAGCUUAUUCAAUGGGCUAAANNNNNNNNNNNNUCAGAGAAAGAGAGCGUGCUCAAGUCUCUUCCUGACCACAAAAAAGUCCAUGGAUUUGUUUUAGAGCUAAAGAAGAGGCUUGGGAUAGAGUAGAGAGUGCAUAGCUUAGAAAGGAGAUUGCUUGGUUUUGAGUUGUUUAUUGUCCUAUCUAGGCCUUGUGUUUUGGCUUUCAAUUACCAUGUGGUG
rnacentral:misc_RNA from 1 species